GGGGGAGCCCCGGUGAAAGAUGCAAGUCGAACGAGUUCUCGUUGAUGAUCGGUGCUUGCACCGAGAUUCAAGAUUGAACGAGUGGCGGACGGGUGAGUAACACGUGGGUAACCUGCCCUUAAGUGGGGGAUAACAUUUGGAAACAGAUGCUAAUACCGCAUAGAUCCAAGAACCGCAUGGUUCUUGGCUGAAAGAUGGCGUAAGCUAUCGCUUUUGGAUGGACCCGCGGCGUAUUAGCUAGUUGGUGAGGUAAUGGCUCACCAAGGCGAUGAUACGUAGCCGAACUGAGAGGUUGAUCGGCCACAUUGGGACUGAGACACGGCCCAAACUAAUACGGGAGGCAGCAGUAGGGAAUCUUCCACAAUGGACGCAAGUCUGAUGGAGCAACGCCGCGUGAGUGAAGAAGGCUUUCGGGUCGUAAAACUCUGUUGUUGGAGAAGAAUGGUCGGCAGAGUAACUGUUGUCGGCGUGACGGUAUCCAACCAGAAAGCCACGGCUAACUACGUGCCAGCAGCCGCGGUAAUACGUAGGUGGCAAGCGUUAUCCGGGAUUUAUUGGGCGUAAAGCGAGCGCAGGCGGUUUUUUAAGUCUGAUGUGAAAGCCCUCGGCUUAACCGAGGAAGCGCAUCGGAAACUGGGAAACUUGAGUGCAGAAGAGGACAGUGGAACUCCAUGUGUAGCGGUGAAAUGCGUAGAUAUAUGGAAGAACACCAGUGGCGAAGGCGGCUGUCUGGUCUGUAACUGACGCUGAGGCUCGAAAGCAUGGGUAGCGAACAGGAUUAGAUACCCUGGUAGUCCAUGCCGUAAACGAUGAAUGCUAGGUGUUGGAGGGUUUCCGCCCUUCAGUGCCGCAGCUAACGCAUUAAGCAUUCCGCCUGGGGAGUACGACCGCAAGGUUGAAACUCAAAGGAAUUGACGGGGGCCCGCACCAAGCGGUGGAGCAUGUGGUUUAAUUCGAAGCAACGCGAAGAACCUUACCAGGUCUUGACAUCUUUUUGAUCACCUGAGAGAUCAGGUUUCCCCUUCGGGGGCAAAAUGACAGGUGGUGCAUGGUUGUCGUGAGCUCGUGUCGUGAGAUGUUGGGUUAAGUCCCGCAACGAGCGCAACCCUUAUGACUAGUUGCCAGCAUUUAGUUGGGCACUCUAGUAAGACUGCCGGUGACAAACCGGAGGAAGGUGGGGAUGACGUCAAAUCAUCAUGCCCCUUAUGACCUGGGCUACACACGUGCUACAAUGGAUGGUACAACGAGUUGCGAGACCGCGAGGUCAAGCUAAUCUCUUAAAGCCAUUCUCAGUUCGGACUGUAGGCUGCAACUCGCCUACACGAAGUCGGAAUCGCUAGUAAUCGCGGAUCAGCACGCCGCGGUGAAUACGUUCCCGGGCCUUGUACACACCGCCCGUCACACCAUGAGAGUUUGUAACACCCGAAGCCGGUGGCGUAACCCUUUUAGAGAGCGAUACUAGGCUGUAGUAGGUUGGUCCCGG
rnacentral:rRNA from 2 species